CUCAUUUGGGAGCUAAAGUGACUAACUCUACUGGGGGUAAGACAAGGUAAGAAUACAGACUUCUUGUGUUCCAAAAAGAAGAUGCUGCUUGGACAAUUUGUUUCUGGAGGGUUUCGAUGUACAAAUAUUCCAAUCUUGCAGAAAUCAACUGGAUUUCAUGGAAUUUGAAGUCAAUUGAAAGACAAUCAGAUGGAAUCAUUUCAGGAAUUCAAAGCAUUCAAAGAAAAAGUGUUUGCUCAGCUACAGUGAUUGAGAAAUUGAAGGAAGGUAGAGUGAUAUGUCAUGGUUGGUUAUGUGCUGCUCUGAUGCCAGUUUGGAGUAAAAGCUGAACUUUGUUGUUGAAAGCCACCAUGGAGAGUGGAAACAUUGUGGAUUGCUGAGUGGUGAAGUAUUAUUUUCUUCAUUUGAUCUUAGUCAAAAGGCCGAGAAGCGAUGGAGUAUUAUUUUCUUAUCCAGAAAUAGCAGCAUCCUUGCUUCAAUGGGAUGGGGAGAUAGCAUCAAUCCUUACUAUUGCAAAGAGCCCAGUUGCGUUCUUUUUUUAAUUUUGAAAGAGUAAAUAUUUAAAUAGGUAAUACAGAAAAGCUAUUGCCAGUUUUCCUCCGUGGAUCAUGGCUAGGAGUUAAAAGAG
rnacentral:lncRNA from 1 species